rnacentral:rRNA from 1 species
CUACGGGUCGCAGCAGUGAGGAAUAUUGCACAAUGGGGGGAACCCUGAUGCAGCAACGCCGCGUGGAGGAUGACGCAUUUCGGUGUGUAAACUCCUUUUAUAUGUCAAGAAAAUGACGGUAGCAUAUGAAUAAGCACCGGCUAACUCCGUGCCAGCAGCCGCGGGAAUACGGCGGGUGCAAGCGUUACUCGGAAUCACUGGGCGUAAAGGACGCGUAGGCGGGUUGGAAAGUCAGGUGUGAAAUCCUACAGCUUAACUGUAGAACUGCACUUGAAACUUCUAAUCUAGAGUAUGGGAGGGGGAGAUGGAAUUAGUGGUGUAGGGGUAAAAUCCGUAGAUAUCACUAGGAAUACCUAAAGCGAAGGCGAUCUCCUGGAACAUUACUGACGCUAAGGCGUGAUAGCGUGGGGAGCAAACAGGAUUAGAUACCCCGGUAGUC